rnacentral:rRNA from 1 species
CCCUUAGAUGUUCUGGGCCGCACGCGCGCUACACUGAUGCGUUCAACAAGUUUCCUCGGCCGAGAGGCCUGGGCAAUCUUCUUAAUAUGUAUCGUGAUAGGGAUAGAUUAUUGCAAUUAUUAAUCUUGAACGAGGAAUUCCUAGUAAACGCAGAUCAUCAAUCUGCAUUGAUUACGUCCCUGCCCUUUGUACACACCGCCCGUCGCACCUACCGAUUGGAUGUUCCGGUGAAGCCUCGGGAUGAGGACUGGUGCCUUUAUUGGCAUGAGUUGUUCAGAACUUGUCUAAACCUUAUCAUCUAGAGGAAGGUGAAGUCGUAACA